GAUGAAGAACGCAGCGAAAUGCGAUAAGUAGUGUGAAUUGCAGAAUUCAGUGAAUCAUCGAAUCUUUGAACGCACAUUGCGCCCUUUGGUAUUCCUUAGGGCAUGCCUGUUCGAGCGUCAUUUAAACCUUCAAGCUAAGCUUGGUGUUGGGUGACUGUCCGCUUCACUGCGGACUCGCCUCAAAAUUAUUGGCGGCCGGUACAUUGGCUUCGAGCGCAGCAGAAACGCGAACUCGGGCCCGUCGUAUUGGCUCCCAGAAGCUAUCUUCACAAUUUUGACCUCGGAUCAGGUAGGGAUACCCGCUGAACUUAAGCAUAUCAAUAAGCGGAGGAA
rnacentral:misc_RNA from 1 species